rnacentral:rRNA from 1 species
CCUACGGGAGGCAGCAGUGGGGAAUAUUGCACAAUGGGGGAAACCCUGAUGCAGCGACGCCGCGUGAGUGAAGAAGUAAUUCGUUAUGUAAAGCUCUAUCAGCAGGGAAGAAAAUGACGGUACCUGAGUAAGAAGCCCCGGCUAACUACGUGCCAGCAGCCGCGGUAAUACGUAGGGGGCAAGCGUUAUCCGGAUUUACUGGGUGUAAAGGGAGCGUAGACGGCAGGGCAAGUCUGGAGUGAAAGGGGGGGGCUCAACCCCCGGACUGCUCUGGAGACUGUACGGCUGGAGUGCAGGAGAGGUAAGUGGAAUUCCUAGUGUAGCGGUGAAAUGCGUAGAUAUUAGGAGGAACACCAGUGGCGAAGGCGGCUUACUGGACUGUAACUGACGUUGAGGCUCGAAAGCGUGGGGAGCAAACAGGAUUAGAUACCCCUGUAGUC